UACGUAGGGUGCAAGCGUUAUCCGGAAUUAUUGGGCGUAAAGAGCUCGUAGGCGGUUUGUCGCGUCUGCUGUGAAAACCGGAGGCUCAACCUCCGGCCUGCAGUGGGUACGGGCAGACUAGAGUGCGGUAGGGGAGAUUGGAAUUCCUGGUGUAGCGGUGGAAUGCGCAGAUAUCAGGAGGAACACCGGUGGCGAAGGCGGGUCUCUGGGCCGAUACUGACGCUGAGGAGCGAAAGCGUGGGGAGGCGAACAGG
rnacentral:rRNA from 1 species